CAAAAAUGGACGCUGAAUCAGGACACUGGAUUUUGCAGUAGAUCUAUUUGAGUUCAGUAAUGAUUGUCAGGUACAACACUGUUAGGGUCUAUUAAAAUGUCGGGAUAUAUUUUUUAAUUACAGUUUGAGUUAGUUAGAAUAAUCUAACCGUGUUUUGGGACAUGCCCUCACAACCAAGGUGAUGACUGUACCAAAUCAUUGACUGAAAUUCCAUCAUUUACAGACAGAUUCUGUAUUAUCACAGACAGGAGAGUAUGCCCCCGCAGCAUACACAGACAGGAGAGUAUGCCCCCGCAGCAUACACAGACAGGAGAAUAUGCCCCCGCAGCAGACAAAGAGAGGAGAGUAUGCCCCCGCAGCAUACACAGACAGGAGAAUAUGCCCCCAUAGCAUACACAGUGAAGUCCAAUCAUUUUUAUGCUUGUAAAUUUCUCAAUUUAAUCGUGUUAAUUAUGUCUCCCCUAUUCCAGGGACAGACAUGUAUAAUUAUAUAUAUAUUGUGUUUGUACUGUCUGUCCAUCUGUCUGUGACAAAAUCCAAAAUCUUGUGAAUGCUUUUUCUCCUGUAUGGGUUAUCUGAUAAACUUGAAACUUUGUACAAUGCUUCAUUGCCAUUUGUAGAUGCGCAAAUUGGUGGGACAUGAGGAUCCAAAUAUUUUCCACAAAGUUAUAGUGGAUCUAAGAGGGGUGGAUGAUGUAAAAUACCUUGUGAUCACCUCUCUUCCUUUAUGGCUUAUUGGAUAGCCUUGAAACUUUGUACAAUGCUUCAGUUCCAUUUGUAGAUGUGCAUAUUGUCAGGAAAGGAGAAUACAUCACAACAGUCAUUAUUUUUGUAUAGUAUACAACAAUGACAUUGGUCACAUCAAUGUUCGAAUCUUUUCUCCAUCUUUUUCCUCAAUGCUUAAAUUACAGUUGAUAAUGUUGAUAUUUCUGCUCUGACUUGCUUUCUCCUUCAUACCAUGCAGUACAUUAAGGGGACUCACUCCGGGGGAGGGGUGUAAUUUGGAGCACUUUCAAUUGGGAGAGCUGGGGAGACGUUUAACAAAAACAAAUUAUAUUUGCUAUAUACUAUAAAGAUAUGGAAAUUUAAAUUGAUAUCUUGACAAUUUGGAAAGUAACUAGCACAAAAAGGGGCCAAAAUUGAUUUCUAUGAUUAGUACCAGUCACACUUUAUAGUAUUUGCAUUUCUAGCUUCAUGGUCAGAAUUCAUGUUAUACAAUUGUAAUGUCAUUGUCGUUGUUUUGCAGGGUGAUGAUGAUGUACCUGGUCAAAUCAUUGACAGAAAUUCCACUACAAAUCCUUUAUUAUCAGAGACAGAGGGAUAUACCCCCACACAGCACAAUACCUCACUAAUUCAGGACUUACAAUAGUAUUUUUCCAGAUCUGAGAGAUUCUGGUCAAGCUGGACUGCACGAAGAACGAAGUAUGAUAGGAGGAGGUGAUUGGAUGUAUAGUUCUUCCUAAAUCCCUGGACCCACACUAGGCCAGUCUGCUGGACUCAUUCUGAAUAACGCCAUGACCAUUCAAAUUCACUGAUGGGCAGUGUGAGUCAGAUAAGUAAUGGACAGUGAUGUGACACUAUUGAUGGUAAACAGAAGACUGUGACCUUGAAUCUGAAGAUCUGUGAUAAAGAUCAGAUGUACUACAAAUCUAA